UGUUAUAAUAAAAUAUAAUUAGAUACUUCUUACCCAUGAAUUCCCAUGGGAUGGGGAUGAUGAACAUAUCUGAUUUUAGUAUCAUG